rnacentral:rRNA from 1 species
CCCUUAGAUGUUCUGGGCUGCACGCGCGCUACACUGAUGCGCUCAACGAGUUUACGAACUUGCCCGGAAGGGUUGGUUAAUCUUUUUAAAACGCAUCGUGAUGGGGAUAGAUUAUUGCAAUUAUUAAUCUUCAACGAGGAAUUCCUAGUAAGCGCGAGUCAUCAGCUCGUGCUGAUUACGUCCCUGCCCUUUGUACACACCGCCCGUCGCUCCUACCGAUUGAAUGGUCCGGUGAAGCGUUCGGACCGUGGCCUUUGGACGGUUCGCCGUCUGUUGGCUGCGGGAAGUUCGUUAAACCUUAUCAUUUAGAGGAAGGAGAAGUCGUAACA